UACGGGGGGGGCAAGCGUUGUUCGGAAUUACUGGGCGUAAAGGGCUCGUAGGCGGCCAACUAAGUCAGGCGUGAAAUCCCCAGGCUCAACCUGGGAACUGCGUCUGAUACUGGAUGGCUUGAAUCCGGGAGAGGGAUGCAGAAUUCCAGGUGUAGCGGUGAAAUGCGUAGAUAUCUGGAGGAAUACCGGUGGCGAAGGCGGCAUCCUGGACCGGCAUUGACGCUGAGGAGCGAAAGCCAGGGGAGCAAACGGG
rnacentral:rRNA from 1 species